ACUAAACUUCAACCACUAGCUUCAAACUACCCAUGGGAUAGUCGCGAUUUUUUCAGGAAUGGCCUGAUUAUAUAGAGACUGUUUUCUAAAUAAGAAGGUAAUAUUGUUGGCAAAGAGUGUGGAGGGUGGCUAACACUAUUUUCUUAACCUCAUUUACAUAGUUUUACAUAUGUGUAGGCGGAGGGGGUUGGGGGAUUCUCCAUUUUCCCUCCUAAACAACUGUUUCCAGUGUGCAGUGUAGGUCCAGUUUCAUAUUUUUAGCGGUAGUUCAGAGCCCUGGCCCUAAGUUGGAUCUGCAGUGCAGACAAGAGCCGCAGGCCAUUACAUGGCCAGACUACUGGUGUGGGGUACUGGCAGUGCUUCUCUGGGUCCUGAAAACUCCAGAUCAACACCUUCCUCUCCCUGCCAGGAGUCUGACAGGUGGGGGCAGGCAGGUGAAUGUAGUAGGCUCACAAAACAGGAUGCACCCAGUCUCCAAGGUGCUUGGGGUGGGGGUUGAGAAGUUUCCAGAUGACCCAGACCUGAGGCAGCAUUCUUGAAAGAUUGUGGCUGUAGGUACUGAGCUCCCAGGCCCAGAGGAAAGACAGAACUGAGAAGGCUGGGAUUUACUCAGGGUCAUUCAUUCAGUCCACAAACAGACUACAGCUGGAGAAGAGAGGAGGCAUUAGAAGGUGGAGAUACACCCUUCCCCCAUGGGUAGAUGUCCAAAUCCAUCCUCCAAAAGCUGUGUAUGUGCUCGGCUCUGCUUCAUCACUCUUCUACUGAAAUCCUUGCACUUUAAAGAUCAAUUUGGCCCUAGCCAGGUGACUCAGCAUCAUCCUGUACCCC